rnacentral:pre_miRNA from 1 species
AGGACAGAUUAUUGUAUUCGACAGUACUGAUGACGUGAAAUAGGGGAUUAUACUGCUUUUAAAACGGAAAGUGAAUCAAUUAACAUAAUAGACUCCU